rnacentral:rRNA from 1 species
UGAGGGAAAGGUGAAAAGCCCCCGACGAGGGGAGUGAAACAGUUCCUGAAACCGGAUGCUUACAAACAGUGGGAGCUCAAGGUUCGUCUUGAGUGACCGCGUACAUUUUGUAUAAUGGGUCAGCGACUUAUUUUCAGUGGCGAGCUUAACCGAAUAGGGGAGGCGUAGCGAAAGCGAGUCUUAAUAGGGCGUCUAGUCGCUGGGAAUAGACCCGAAACCGGGCGAUCUAUCCAUGGGCAGGUUGAAGGUUGGGUAACACUAACUGGAGGACCGAACCGACUACCUUUGAAAAGUUAGCGGAUGACCUGUGGAUCGGAGUGAAAGGCUAAUCAAGCUCGGAGAUAGCUGGUUCUCCUCGAAAGCUAUUUAGGUAGCGCCUCAUGUAUCACUCCAGGGGGUAGAGCACUGUU